AUGUUUGAUGCGCAAGGUUGCCAUAAUGUGAAGUGUAAUGAAAAUUUUGAAACUUUAAUUUUGUGCGAAGGAGUUUGGACUUUGUAGCUGUUUGUAGAGCAUUGAAAAGUAGCGAAUUCAGCAUACUGUUGAUUAACAGUGAAUACUGUGAUUGCAGCUUAUUUACUAUAUAAUUUGGCACUUCCACACAGCUGUAGAUACCAUAUGCAGUGUAAACAUCAUGUCCACCAACGGCGCAUAUACGCUUGUCAACUACAAUGGCACUUAUACCAAAACGUGCAACAUUUAACGGUGAAAUCUGGAAAUUUUUAAGAAAAUAAUCAAAAAAUUUUUAAACUAAAAAAAUUAAUUUCAAACCUUCCGCCAAGUAUUUAACUGUGGAUCGUAACACUCCACCGUAUUCAGCAUGCCUUCAUUGUAACCACCAAUCACAUAUAUUAAACCAUCCAAUAUAGCAACCUACAAGACAUAACCUCAAAUUUGUACAACAUCAAAUAUUAAAUUUUAUUGCAACUUACACCCGGC